rnacentral:rRNA from 1 species
AUUGAACGCUGGCGGCAGGCCUAACACAUGCAAGUCGAGCGGAUGAAGGGAGCUUGCUCCUGGAUUCAGCGGCGGACGGGCGAGUAAUGCCCAGGAAUCUGCCUGGUAGUGGGGGCUAACGUCCGGAAACGGGCGCUAAUACCGCAUCCGUCCUGAGGGAGAAAGGGGGGGAUCUUCGGACCUCGCGCUAUCAGCUGAGCCUGGGUCGGAUUAGCUAGUUGGUGGGGUAACGGCUUACCAAGGCGACGAUCCGUAACUGAUCUGAGAGGGUGAUCAGUCACACUGGAACUGAGACACGGUCCAGACUCCUACGGGAGGCAGCAGUGGGGAAUCUUGGGCAAUGGGCGAAAGCCUGAUGCAGCCAUGCCGCGUGUGUGAAGAAGGUCUUCGGAUUGUAAAGCACUGUUAGUUGGGAGGAAGAACAGUGAGUUAAUACCUGGCUGUUUUGACGGUACCAACAGAGAAAGCACCGGCUAACUACGUG